rnacentral:rRNA from 1 species
UACAGAGGUCCCAAGCGUUGUUCGGAUUCACUGGGCGUAAAGGGUGCGUAGGUGGUAAGGCAAGUCAGGUGUGAAAUCUCCAAGCUCAACUUGGAAACUGCAUUCGAAACUACCUUGCUAGAGGAUUUGAGGGGGGACUGGAAUACUUGGUGUAGCAGUGAAAUGCGUAGAUAUCAAGUGGAACACCAGUGGCGAAGGCGAGUCCCUGGAAAAUUCCUGACACUGAGGCACGAAAGCUAGGGGAGCAAACAGG